AUCACUCUCUUUUCUCUUAAACAAAACCUAAACCCUAAUCCCUCCAUUCUGACCAACAUCCUCCCCUCUCCCCCCUCUCUCUCUCUCCCUUCUCUCUUAUCUAAUAAAACUCUCCUGCCACCGCCCUUCUCCAUCACCGGUGAGUCAUGACCAGCCGCUGCUCCACCGCCUCCAUCCUCCUAUCCCGUCGACAAGCCUCGUCGGAUGUGAUUACCGGCGGGAUUUUCAUCUUCAGCACCGCCAGUCUCCGCCACUGGACGAAUCAGCCUCCGCUCCACCACUGACCGGCGAAUCUCCUCCCGCCGGACGCCUCCGGCGCCUCCUUCACCUGCUAACAGUCCCUCCAGUCCCUCCAUCAUUGGCAUCUCUAAGUGUGUAUUUUUUCCUUUAUAUUAAAGUAACUGUAAAGUUUGGGAUAAUAUGACUGAAUUUCUAGUCUUAGGGGUGAUUAUAUGAAUGUGUACAUAUAUUUUGAUUUGUAAGUAAAUGUGCGUGAGUUGUGUAUCACCGGAUUUAUCAAUUGAAUGCGUUGAAUCUUUCUUUUUUGUUUUUCGAUGAAGGAAAAAAGUAACUGUAUUUUUCUCUGAUUUAUUCUCUCCUUUUUAUGCAAAUAUGAGAUUUUGAAAACCCUAACUUUUGACUAAUUUUAGAAAUGUAUGUGAAAAUAUAGUUUUUUUGUUCAUUUUGUUGUGUUUUUAUGGAAAUGUGAAUGAUUAUAUGAAUGUACAUGUAUGCCUUUUUAUUUAUUUAUUUAUUUAUUUUUAUAUAUGUAAUUGAAUUGGUGUGAAUCGCUUGACUAGAUUUGUGCGUGUUGAAUCUAGUUCCUUUUUGUGUUUGCAGGAAUGUAAAUGAUCAUAUAAAUGUACAUGUAUGAUUUUUCUUUUUACUGGAUUUGUGAAUUGAAUUCAUUGAAUCUAUAUUUUUUUCUAUUUCUCUCCAUUUUAAAAAGCUCACUGUGAGUUUUUUUCCUGUGUUUUCUCUUCUUUUUUUUUUCUGCAAAUCUGAAAUUUUUAAAACCCUAAUUUUUGAAGAAUUUUCCACAUUUCUGAACCGAAAUGUAUGCGAGAAUGUGUUUCUUUUUUGUUUGCGGAAUUAUUUUUUUCUCUAAUGAAUUCGUGUGUUUCUUUUUUCUCUAAUGACUCGAAAAUGUUUAAGUUUAGGUAGUUGAAAGGUGAAUUUGUGUUUUGAAUUUACUAAAGUGAAUUAGUGAGUCAAAAAUGUUUAAGUGUAGUUACUUGAAAGGUGGACAUAUGUUUUGAAUAUAGUUAAGUGUUGUCACUAGAGAAGUGAGUAGUGAGUCGAAAAUGUUUAAGUGUAGGUACUUGAAAUGUGAACUUGUGUUUUGAAUAUAGUUAAGUGUGGUCACUAGAGAAGUGAGUUAGUGAGUCGAAAAUAAUUAAGUGUAGGUACUUGAAAUGUAGAUUUGUGUUUUGAAUUUGGUGUGGUCACUUGAGAAGUGAGUUAGUGAGUCAAAAAUGUUUAAGUGUAGUUACUUGAAAGGUGGACUUGUGUUUUGAAUAUAGUUAAGUGUGGUCACUAGAGAAGUGAGUUAGUGAGUCGAAAAUAAUUAAGUGUAGGUACUUGAAAUGUGAACUUGUGUUUUGAAUAUAGUUAAGUGUGGUCACUUGAGAAGCGCAUUAGUGUGUCGAAAAUGUUUAAGUGUAGUUAAUUGAAAGGUGGACUUGUAUUUUGAAUAUAGUCAAGUGUGGUCACUUGAGAAGUGAGUUAGUGACUUGAAAAUGUUUAAGUGUAGGUACUUGAAAUGUGAACUUGUGUUUUGAAUUUAGUUAAGUGUGGUCACUUGAGAAGUGCAUUGUGAGUCGAAAAUAUUUAAGUGUAGUUACUUGAAAGGUGGACUUGUGUUUUGAAUAUAGUUAAAUGUGGACACUUGAGAAGUGAGUUAGUGAGUCGAUAAUGUUUAAGUGUAGAUACUUGACAUGUGAACUUUUCAUUUUGAAUAUAGUUUAGUUUGGUAACUAGUGAAGUGACUUAGUGACUUGAAAAUGUUUAGGUGCAGGUACUUGAAAUGUGAACUUUUCAUUUUGAAUUUAGUUUAGUUUGGUAACUUGUGAAGUGAAUUAGUGACUUGAAAUGUUUAGGUGUAGGUCUUUGAAAUGUGAACUUUUCAUUUUGAAUUAAGUUUAGUUUGGUAACUUGUGAAGUGAAUUAGUGACUUGAAAAUGUUUAGGUGUAGGUACUUGAAAUGGGAACUUUUCAUUUUGAAUUUGGUUUAGUUAGGUAACUUGUGAAGUGACUUAGUGACUUGAAAUGUUUAAGUGUAGUUACUUGAAUUAUGAAUUAGUGACUUUUGUUUUGAAUUUAGGUACUUGAAAUGUGAAUUUGCGUUUUUAUUUUAGUAAAGUGUGGUCACUUAAUAAGUAAAUUAGCGACUUAAAAAUGUUUAGGUGUAGGUACUUGAAAUGUGAACUUUUCUUUUUGAAUUAAGUUUAGUUUGGUACCUUGUGAAGUGAAUUAGUAACUUGAAAUGUUUAGGUGUAGGUACUUGCAAUAUAAACUUUUCAUUUUGAAUUAAGUUUAGUUUGGUAACUUGUGAAGUGAAUUAGUGACUUGAAAAUGUUUAGGUGUAGUUACUUGAAUUAUGAAUUAGUGACUUUUAUUUUGAAUUUAGGUACUCGAAAUGUGAACUUGCGUUUUCAUUUUCGUAAAGUGUGGUCGUAAAGUGUGGUCGAAGUGAAUUAGUGACUUGAAAAUGUAAGUUUAGUUUGGUAACUUGUGAAGUGAAUUAGUGACUUGAAAAUGUUUAAGUGUAGGUACUUGAAAUGUGAACUUUUGUGACUUGAACUAAUUACUUGAAUGUGAUUGAUUGUGUAGAUGGAACCUGAUUAUAGCUGGAUAUAUCAAUGAAAUAUUGAUAGUAGAAUGGGUGGGGCUGGGAAUGAGGAUGCGGAUGAUGAGUUGUAGAUUUUAGUUUUUUGUAUGUUUUGUAGUUUGAAUUUGGAACCUCGAUAAAUUUUGUAAAUAAUUUGAUUUUUAAUGUUUGUAUUAUUAUGGUGGUUGAUUGUAUAUUAAAUGAUUGGUGGGUUGUAUUGUAAAUAAU
rnacentral:lncRNA from 1 species